rnacentral:rRNA from 1 species
GAUGAACGCUGGCGGCGUGCCUAAUACAUGCAAGUCGAGCGAACAGACGAGGAGCUUGCUCCUCUGACGUUAGCGGCGGACGGGUGAGUAACACGUGGAUAACCUACCUAUAAGACUGGGAUAACUUCGGGAAACCGGAGCUAAUACCGGAUAAUAUAUUGAACCGCAUGGUUCAAUAGUGAAAGAUGGCUUUGCUGUCACUUAUAGAUGGAUCCGCGCCGCAUUAGCUAGUUGGUAAGGUAACGGCUUACCAAGGCAACGAUGCGUAGCCGACCUGAGAGGGUGAUCGGCCACACUGGAACUGAGACACGGUCCAGACUCCUACGGGAGGCAGCAGUAGGGAAUCUUCCGCAAUGGGCGAAAGCCUGACGGAGCAACGCCGCGUGAGUGAUGAAGGUCUUCGGAUCGUAAAACUCUGUUAUUAGGGAAGAACAAAUGUGUAAGUAACUAUGCACGUCUUGACGGUACCUAAUCAGAAAGCCACGGCUAACUACGUG